UGAAAAGAACCUGAAACCGUUACGGGGGAAGCGAAUUGCGUCGAAUUGAUUUUAUGGGGGGUGCACUGUUCAGCGCGUUUUGCGUGUACUCAGGGCAUUUUUCCUUACCCGUCGUGGGUUUUUGGAUGGUCGAAUUUGGGCCGUCUAGGACUGAGGGAUCCUCUUUUUUUAAUAUAAGGGUGAGGACGACGGGGCGCUGACGCGAUACGACCCGUCUUGAAACACGGACCAAGGAGUUCAGCAUAUGUGCGAGUCAAAGGGUGGUGAAACCUGAGGGCGCAGUGAAAGCGAUUUAACACGGAUCGUGUAAGAACUAAAACAUAUAAUUUUCAGUUUUAAGGCGGCAUACAAUGGGUGAUUGUAGGACCGACCUCGAGCAGAUAUGCUGAGACCCGAAAGAUGGUGAACUAUGCCGGAGUAGGGCGAAGCCAGAGGAAACUCUGGUGGAGGCUCGUAGCGGUGCUGACGUGCAAAUCGCUCGUCUGACUUGGGUAUAGGGGCGAAAGACUAAUCGAACCAUCUAGUAGCUGGUUUCCUCCGAAGU
rnacentral:rRNA from 1 species